CACUUACCUGGCCAAUUUGAAAUAUUAAGUCUUGAAUAUGAUUUCUUAGUGAUUUGGUUUAGCCCAUUCUAAUUAGAUCAGUCAUUUGAUGACUAAUUAGAUGAGAUUUAAACCUAAACUUAAAUCUCUCUAUGAAUAUUAAGUCUAAAAAUCUUCCACCAAUGUAGAAGUAUGGACGUGCUACUAGUAUUGAUUGUUCUU
rnacentral:lncRNA from 1 species